AAUUGGAGGGCAAGUCUGGUGCCAGCAGCCGCGGUAAUUCCAGCUCCAAUAGCGUAUAUUAAAGUUGUUGCAGUUAAAAAGCUCGUAGUUGAAUUUCGGGAUCGACGUGACGGUCGUGCCUCACGGGGCACGAACUGUCGCUGUCGAUUUCUCACCUUCUGGAGAAGCUCGAUGUCCUUAAUUGGGUGUCUUGCGGAACCAGGACCUUUACCUUGAAAAAAUUAGAGUGUUUAAAGCAGGCAUUUUGCUCGAAUACAUUAGCAUGGAAUAAUAGAAUAGGACGGCAUGGUUCUAUUUUGUUGGUUUCUAGGAUCACCGUAAUGAUUAAUAGGGAUAGUUGGGGGCAUUAGUAUUCAAUUGUCAGAGGUGAAAUUCUUGGAUUUAUUGAAGACUAACUACUGCGAAAGCAUUUGCCAAGGAUGUUUUCAUUAAUCAAGAACGAAAGUUAGGGGAUCGAAGACGAUCAGAUACCGUCGUAGUCUUAACCAUAAACUAUGCCGACUAGGAAUCAGACGAUGUUAAUUUUUUAAUGACUCGUUUGGCACCUUACGGGAAACCAAAGUGU
rnacentral:rRNA from 1 species